rnacentral:rRNA from 1 species
AACGAACGCUGGCGGCGUGCCUAACACGUGCAAGUCGAACGAGAAAGGGGCUUCGGUCCUGAGUAAAGUGGCGCACGGGUGAGUAACACGUGGGCAACCUGCCUCUAAGAUUGGGAUAACCUGUCGAAAGACGAGCUAAUACCGAAUAAGACCACGGCUUCCUCGGAAGCAGGGGCCAAAGGUAGCCUCUAUUUAUAAGCUAUCACUUAGAGAUGGGCCUGCGCACCAUUAGCUAGUUGGUAGGGGAACGGCCUACAAAGGCAAAGAUGGUUAGCUGGUCUGAGAGGAUGAUCAGCCACACUGGAACUGAGACACGGUCCAGACUCCUACGGGAGGCAGCAGUGGGGAAUAUUGCGCAAUGGGCGAAAGCCUGACGCAGCAACGCCGCGUGAGUGAUGAAGGCCUUCGGGUCGUAAAGCUCUGUCGGAGGGAACGAAUGCUUUCGAGGUUAACAGCCUUGAGAAGUGACGGUACCUUCAAAGGAAGCACCGGCUAACUCUGUGCCAGCAGCCGCGGUAACAC